rnacentral:rRNA from 1 species
GACGAACGCUGGCGGCAUGCCUAAUACAUGCAAGUCGAGCGAACAGAUGAAGUGCUUGCACUUCUGACGUUAGCGGCGAACGGGUGAGUAACACGUAAGGAAUCUACCUAUAAGCGGGGGAUAACAUUCGGAAACGGGUGCUAAUACCGCAUACUAUCUUCUUCCGCAUGGAAGAAGAUUGAAAGACGGCUCUGCUGUCACUUAUAGAUGACCUUGCGGUGCAUUAGUUAGUUGGUGGGGUAACGGCCUACCAAGACGAUGAUGCAUAGCCGACCUGGGAGGGUGAUCGGCCACAUUGGGACUGAGACACGGCCCAAACUCCUACGGGAGGCAGCAGUAGGGAAUCUUCCGCAAUGGGCGAAAGCCUGACGGAGCAAUGCCGCGUGAGUGAAGAAGGCCUUCGGGUCGUAAAACUCUGUUAUAAGAGAAGAACAAAUUGUAGAGUAACUGCUACAGUCUUGACGGUAUCUUAUCAGAAAGCCACGGCUAACUACGUGCCAGCCGCCGCUGUAA